CCCUUUCUUUUUUCUCCUCCCUUUUCUCCCUUUCUUUUUUUCGAAUUUCUUCUUCUCCUUCCCCUCUACCAUUCUCCUUCGAAGUUGCUACCUUUCUCUCAAAGAUGGAAUCAGCCGUCGCUGGAAGAGGGCCUUCACGGUUCCGCACGAAGGUAGCUCCGGCAAGGCCACCGGAAUCUCUUCGGAAAUAAUGCUGGAAGUGACCAUGUGUCAACGCAGGCAUGCUGUGCUCAUUCAGGAUACCUACCUUUGAGUUUAACGAAAGGGUUUCUACUUGGGGCGUAAUCAACAUAGAGAGGACCCAUGUUCCUUUUCGGCAUGAUUGAAAAUCAUCAUCACCAUGAAUUCUAUCCUACAGAACAGGAAACUCUCCUCAUCGAUCUGCACCAAUUGAAUAACAUAUUCAAUUUCAUCAUUUCAAAACACAUCUAUGCAUUGAAAAUUAACUCAAAGUGCAUACUUAAUGAAUUUCCAUCAGAUUUGCCUUUCAUAAUUACAAUGGUAAAACAUAUGCUUGCCACUUCUAAUAUUUGUGUGGACAUAAGGCAAGAACUGCAUGUAAUGUAAUAUGUUCGUAAUUAAGUAAUUAUUUACUUAAUUAUAUUAAAUUUGACGUAAUAGCAUUACAUAUCCUUCAUCUCUAGCAUCCACAUCGUUGUAUUUUCUUCUUAGUUUCACUGUAAUAAAUGAUAGGGCACAUCUCGUAUUGAUUCAGUCUCUGAGCUUCCCAGGCCUGUGUCCUGACCAGGUCUGACGGUCGGUACGCGUGUGCUUCUAUUAUCCCGCACCGGUGAGAAAAAGUUGUUGCGGAGGGACUUCUGCUUUGCCCCCCAGCGCCAGGUGACACACUUUCUCUGGUCAAGGUCUUCGUGACAUCCGCCUCAACCCCGGACACACCCCUUAUUUCACCGACCAUUGCUGGGGCGACUACCCUUCGCGAUGUCAUUGGUGAAGAUCCUAUUGAGUGGAACUACAAGGACCUCAUGCGCCGCCCCUGAAGCGUAUCUACCGAUUCACCAAUGUUAGUUGCCCCGUUUGUCUUAUGGAUUGUAUGUCGUACCUAUUUUUGGAUGGAUUAUGUUGAGGUUGUGUGAACUAUAUGUGGAAUGGAUGCAUAGACCAUUGGAGUUUUAAUUCGUGUGGUGAAAGAUGUGGUUAUGGAUUGAUGGAUAUCCGCACUUGCUUAUUGUUAGGUUUGGUGUUUGAACUGUUAAGCACAUUUUGCGGAACAGGAUGUUGCUGUGUAGUGCUUGCUAGGCUUCUUUUAUGGGUUGCUUUUCUUUGUUGUUAGGUAUGGAGAUUGUCCAGUAAAAACUGUGGUGUCCAUGUGCCUUAAUGUUGGGUUUAAUGUAUUUACUAUGAAUUAAUGUUUGCAAGUAUUG